rnacentral:sRNA from 1 species
AGCUACAUCCGUCACCUGACACGGCCCUACCAGGAACAGCCGCGCUCCCGCGGAUUCUGGUGCUGCUCGCGUCCCCGCUCCCCUAUUCCCCUUAUUUUAUUCCUGGCUCCCCUCGUCGAAAGUCUUCCAUUCUUCAAACUAGAUUAUUUAAAAAUGAAAAAGGAAGAAAGGAAAGCGAGGUCAUCUCAUUGCUCUAUCCGCCAAUCAGGAGGCUGAAUGUCAGUUUUGAACUAAAAGCCGCUCCGCUCCUCUUCUAGAUUUGGAAAACAAGCGAAAUUAAACUAAACCGCUGCACGCCUCUGACGCGACAUCUGGACACGGCGCGGCGCUGGCGCUGCCGGAGCUGUCGACCCGGCCUGGCGCCGGACUAGUGUCCCUUUUGAUGAGAAGAAUAAGCCUCAUUCUGAUUCAACAGCAGAGAUCAAAGAAAAGACUUCUGUUUUCUGGCCACCAGAUAUAUGUUAUCUGUGCUUAAAGAAUUGAAAAACACACAUCAAAGGAGAAUUUUCUUGGAAAGAGAGGGUUCAAGCAUCACUGUUAGGUGUGCUGGAAUCCUUUCCCGAGUCAGUACUGCUUUCUAGAAGAAAACCGGGGAGAUCUAUUUGGAAUGUAUCUAACUCCAAAGAAACCAUCAGAGGUAACAGUAGAGACGGGGUUUCACCAUGUUGGCCAGACUGGUCUUGAACUCUCGACCUCGUGAUUCGCCCGCCUCGGCCUCCCAAAGUGCUGGGAUUACAGGUGUGAGACACCACACCCGGCGGAUAGAGAGAAUUUUGACAGAUUGGCUUCUCUCACAUGGCAAGAAACAUUGCUGCUAGCACUUCCCGAGUUCUACGUUCUACAACAUCCACCACUGCUAUGUCUCACAGUCCAGACUUGGAGUACAAGUAAUAAGAAGAAUAAAACUUAAUCCCUUAAGUAGAUUCACCAUAAGUUAGCUCAGAGCAAUUCCAGUGCAAGUAUGGUCUGUGAUCCAGUAGUAUCUUACAGACAGCAAGUUGAACAUUGUGGGAUGCAUGAGCUAUUGAGGCCUUUGCAGCUUUCUGCUACAUGGAGGCUAGGGCCAGAGUCAAGAUUUAUGCUUUGCAGCACACUGGUCAGCUGUUUUUGCAAAUCAGAUUAAAUGAUUUUUAAAUGAGGCUGAGAGCAUGGGAGAUACUAAUGUGUGUUUCCUUGUGAGCUACUGCAUAAGUUAGGAAAUUGAAAUACAGAAAGAUGAAAAGUGAUUUGCCCAAGCAUAUAGAUCAAAGCUGUGGCAGAACCAGGACUGGAACCUAUAUCUCUCUACUAAUGGUUUUUUUAAAAAAAUAACCUUGUUUCAAAAAUAUUAAAAAGUCACAAGAAAGGUAAACAUGUGGAUAAACAAAAUGAAGAAAAUAAAAAUUAUCCAGUAAUAACAUAUUGGCAUAUGUCUUUCUGGUAUAUUUUCCUGUGUUGUCAUCAUUAUCAUCUCCAUCAUCAUUAUAUCCAUCAUUAUCAUCAUCAUCAUCAUCAUCAUCAUCAUUAUCAUCACCAUAGUGAACAUGUAAUGCUUACCUAGUGCCAGAUGCUGUCUAGGCAUUUUACAUGUGUUACUGGUAACUCAUGUAAUCCUCAUAACAACCUUAUAAGGUGGUUGCUAUUAUCCCCAUGUUACAUAUGAAGAGACAGAAGCAUAAAGAAGUUGCACCGCUGGUAAUUGGCUGGGAUUUGAACUUAAGCAGUCUAACCUUAGAGUAAUGAUUUUAACAACUAUGCUAUAUACAUACAAAUUUACAAAAUAAAACUGGGCUCAGACAAUAAAAAAAAAAAAAAAAAAAAAAAAA